GCCCCGGUAGUAUAGUCAGGUCUAGUAUCGCCGGCUGUCGCCCGGCGGACUCGGGUUCGAAUCCCGACCGGGGCG
rnacentral:tRNA from 1 species